GACGAACCGCGCGAACGUUAUUCGGAAUCACUGGGCUUAAAGCGCGUGUAGGCGGGGCGGCACGUCGACUGCUGAAAUCCCUCGGCUUAACCGAGGAAGUGGCAUCGAUACGACCGUCCUGGAGGGACGUAGGGGGACCUGGAACUUCCGGUGGAGCGGUGAAAUGCGUUGAGAUCGGGAGGAACAUCAGUGGCGAAGGCGGCUACCUGGCCCAAUACUGACACUCAGGUGCGACAGCGUGGGGAGCAAACAGG
rnacentral:rRNA from 1 species